rnacentral:rRNA from 1 species
AUUGAACGCUGGCGGCAGGCCUAACACAUGCAAGUCGAGCGGAUGAAGGGAGCUUGCUCCUGGAUUCAGCGGCGGACGGGUGAGUAAUGCCUAGGAAUCUGCCUGGUAGUGGGGGAUAACGUCCGGAAACGGGCGCUAAUACCGCAUACGUACUGAGGGAGAAAGUGGGGGAUCUUCGGACCUCACGCUAUCAGAUGAGCCUAGGUCGGAUUAGCUAGUUGGUGGGAUAAAGGCCUACCAAGGCGACGAUCCGUAACUGGUCUGAGAGGAUGAUCAGUCACACUGGAACUGGAACACGGUCCAGACUCCUACGGGAGGCAGCAGUGGGGAAUAGUGGACAAUGGGCGAAAGCCUGAUCCAGCCAUGCCGCGUGUGUGAAGAAGGUCUUCGGAUUGUAAAGCACUUUAAGUUGGGAGGAAGGGCAGUAAGUUAAUACCUUGCUGUUUUGACGUUACCAACAGAAUAAGCACCGGCUAACUUCGUG